GACGAACGCUGGCGGCGUGCCUAAUACAUGCAAGUUGAGCGCUGAAGGUUGGUACUUGUACCUACUGGAUGAGCAGCGAACGGGUGAGUAACGCGUGGGGAAUCUGCCUUUGAGCGGGGGACAACAUUUGGAAACGAAUGCUAAUACCGCAUAAAAACUUUAAACACAAGUUUUAAGAUUGAAAGAUGCAAUUGCAUCACUCAAAGAUGAUCCCGCGUUGUAUUAGCUAGUUGGUGAGGUAAAGGCUCACCAAGGCGAUGAUACAUAGCCGACCGGAGAGGGUGAUCGGCCACAUUUGGAAUGAGGAACGGCCCAAACUCCUACGGGAGGCAGCAGUAGGGGAUCUUCGGCAAUGGACGAAAGUCUGACCGAGCAACGCCGCGGUAGUGAAGAAGGGUUUCGGAUCGGAAAAAUCUGGUGGUAGGGAAGAACGUUGGGGGGAGGGGAAAGCUCAUCAAGUGACGGUAACUACCCAGAAAGGGACGGCUAACUACGUG
rnacentral:rRNA from 1 species